CCUACGGGUGGCAGCAGUGAGGAAUAUUGGUCAAUGGACGAGAGUCUGAACCAGCCAAGUAGCGUGAAGGAUGACUGCCCUACGGGUUGUAAACUUCUUUUAUAUGGGAAUAAAAUGCUCCACGUGUGGGAUUUUGUAUGUACCAUAUGAAUAAGGAUCGGCUAACUCCGUGCCAGCAGCCGCGGUAAUACGGAGGAUCCGAGCGUUAUCCGGAUUUAUUGGGUUUAAAGGGAGCGUAGGUGGAUUGUUAAGUCAGUUGUGAAAGUUUGCGGCUCAACCGUAAAAUUGCAGUUGAAACUGGCAGUCUUGAGUACAGUAGAGGUGGGCGGAAUUCGUGGUGUAGCGGUGAAAUGCUUAGAUAUCACGAAGAACUCCGAUUGCGAAGGCAGUUCACUGGACUGCAACUGACGCUGAGGCUCGAAAGUGUGGGUAUCAAACAGGAUUAGAUACCCCAGUAGUC
rnacentral:rRNA from 1 species